GCUGGUGUAGCUCAGUUGGUAGAGCAGCUGAUUUGUAAUCAGCUGGUCGGGGGUUCAAGUCCUCUCACCAGCU
rnacentral:tRNA from 1 species